rnacentral:guide_RNA from 1 species
AUAAAAUCAUGAAAGUUAGAUGUAUACGAUGAUUGUGAUAUU